rnacentral:rRNA from 1 species
GACGUAGGGCGCGAGCGUUGUCCGGAUUUAUUGGGCGUAAAGAGCUCGUAGGCGGCGUGUCGCGUCGACUGUGAAAACCCGCGGCUCAACUGCGGGCCUGCAGUCGAUACGGGCAGGCUAGAGUUCGGUAGGGGAGACUGGAAUUCCUGGUGUAGCGGUGAAAUGCGCAGAUAUCAGGAGGAACACCGGUGGCGAAGGCGGGUCUCUGGGCCGAUACUGACGCUGAGGAGCGAAAGCGUGGGGAGCGAACAGG